rnacentral:rRNA from 1 species
GACGAACGCUGGCGGCGUGCUUAACACAUGCAAGUCGAACGGAAAGGCCCUGCUUUCAGGGUACUCGAGUGGCGAACGGGUGAGUAACACGUGUGUGAUCUGCCCUGCACUUCGGGAUAAGCCUUGGAAACUGGGUCUAAUACCGGAUAGGGGCCAUUUUUAGUGUUAUGGUUGGAAAGUUUUUUGGGUGUAGGAUGAGCUCGCGGCCUAUCAGCUUGUUGGUGGGGUAAUGGCCUACCAAGGCGGCGACGGGUAGCCGGCCUGGGAGGGUGGACGGCCACAUUGGGGAUGGGGUACGGCCCAGACUCCUAAGGGAGGCAGCAGUGGGGGAUAUUGCACAAUGGGGGGAAGCCUGAUGCAGCGACGCCGCGUGGGGGAUGACGGCCUUCGGGUUGUAAACUCCUUUCGCUAGGGACGAAGCUUUUUGUGACGGUACCUAGAUAAGAAGCACCGGCUAACUACGUG